rnacentral:rRNA from 1 species
UACAGAGGUGCCAAGCGUUAGGCGGAAUCACUGGGCUUAAAGCGCGUGUAGGUGGGUCGUUAAGUGUCCGCGUGAAAUCCCACGGCUCAACCGUGGAACUGCCGGGCAUACUGGCGAUCUUGAGGCAUUCAGGGGCGAGCGGAACAAAUGGUGGAGCGGUGAAAUGCGUAGAUAUCAGGAGGAACACCCAUGGCGAAGGCAGCUAACUGGGCAUUAUCUGACGCUGAGGCGCGAAAGCGUGGGUAGCAAACAGG